rnacentral:rRNA from 1 species
CGGCAGGCCUAACACAUGCAUGUCGAGGGGUAAUUUCUGAUCUUCGGAUCGGAAACGACCGGCAAAUGGGUGAGUAAUACAUAUGCAACCUGCCCGUAGCUGGAGAAUAGCUUCCGGAAACGGAAAUUAAUACUCCAUAAUAUUCUAGUAUCGCAUGUUAUUAGAAUUAAAGCUUCGGUGGCUACGGAUGGGCAUAUGUCCCAUUAGCUUGUUGGUGAGGUAACUGCUCACCAAGGCUACGAUGGGUAGGGGGUCUGAGAGGAUGAUCCCCCACACUGGUACUGAGACACGGACCAGACUCCUACGGGAGGCAGCAGUGAGGAAUAUUGGUCAAUGGGCGAAAGCCUGAACCAGCCAUGCCGCGUGCAGGAUGACAGUCCUACGGAUUGUAAACUGCUUUUCUGCAAGAAGAAAUGUUCCGACGUGUCGGGAUUUGACGGUAUUGCAGGAAUAAGCAUCGGCUAACUCCGUGCCAGCAGCCGCGGUAAUACGGAGGAUGCAAGCGUUAUCCGGAUUCAUUGGGUUUAAAGGGUGCGUAGGCGGAUUAGAUAGUCAAAGGUGAAAGCCUGCAGCUUAACUGUAGAAGUGCCUUUGAUACUGCUAAUCUUGAGUACAGUUGAGGCGAGUGGAAUGUGUAGUGUAGCGGUGAAAUGCAUAGAUACUACACAGAACACCAAUUGCGAAGGCAGCUCGCUAAGCUGUUACUGACGCUCAGGCACGAAAGCGUGGGGAGCGAACAGGAUUAGAUACCCUGGUAGUCCACGCUGUAAACUAUGAUCACUAGCUGUUGGCGAUAAAUUGUCAGUGGCUCAGCGAAAGCGUUAAGUGAUCCACCUGGGGAGUACGAUCGCAAGGUUGAAACUCAAAGGGAUAGGCGGGGGAACACACAAGCAGUGGAUUGUCUCGAUUAAUUGGAUAAUAAGCCAAGAAUCUUACCUAGACUUGACAUAUAUUGUGUCCUACGUGAAAGUGUAGUAAUCCCGAUUUUGUCGGGAUACGAUAUACAGGUGGUGCAUGGUCGUCGUCAGCUCGUGCCGCAGGAUGUCCAGUUAAGUCUGGGAACGAGCGCAACCCUCGUUGUUAGUUA